rnacentral:tRNA from 1 species
GGUGGGAUGUCCGAGUGGCUAAAGGAGGCAGACUGUAAAUCUGCUGGCGCAAGCCUACGCAGGUUCGAACCCUGCUCCCACCA